UACGAGGGGGGCAAGCGUUGUUCGGAAUUAUUGGGCGUAAAGGGCGCGUAGGCGGUGCGGUAAGUCACCUGUGAAAACUCUGGGCUCAACUCAGAGCCUGCAGGCGAAACUGCCGUGCUUGAGUGUGGGAGAGGUGCGUGGAAUUCCCGGUGUAGCGGUGAAAUGCGUAGAUAUCGGGAGGAACAUCUGUGGCGAAGGCGGCCAUCUGGACCAGCACUGACGCUGAGGCACGAAAGCGUGGGGAGCAAACAGG
rnacentral:rRNA from 1 species